rnacentral:rRNA from 1 species
GGGUUGUGAGGUUAAGCGACUAAGCGUACACGGUGGAUGCCCUGGCAGUCAGAGGCGAUGAAGGACGUGCUAAUCUGCGAAAAGCGUCGGUAAGGUGAUAUGAACCGUUAUAACCGGCGAUGUCCGAAUGGGGAAACCCAGUGUGAUUCGUCACACUAUCGUUAACUGAAUACAUAGGUUAACGAGGCGAACCGGGGGAACUGAAACAUCUAAGUACCCCGAGGAAAAGAAAUCAACCGAGAUUCCCCCAGUAGCGGCGAGCGAACGGGGAGCAGCCCAGAGUCUGAAUCAGCUUGUGUGUUAGUGGAACGGUCUGGAAAGUCCGACGGUACAGGGUGAUAGUCCCGUACACCAAAAUGCACAGGCUGUGAACUCGAAGAGUAGGGCGGGACACGUGGUAUCCUGUCUGAAUAUGGGGGGACCAUCCUCCAAGGCUAAAUACUCCUGACUGACCGAUAGUGAACCAGUACCGUGAGGGAAAGGCGAAAAGAACCCCGGCGAGGGGAGUGAAAAAGAACCUGAAACCGUGUACGUACAAGCAGUGGGAGCACCUUCGGGUGUGACUGCGUACCUUUUGUAUAAUGGGUCAGCGACUUAUAUUCUGUAGCAAGGUUAACCGUAUAGGGGAGCCGCAGGGAAACCGAGUCUUAACUGGGCGUUAAGUUGCAGGGUAUAGACCCGAAACCCGGUGAUCUAGCCAUGGGCAGGUUGAAGGUUGGGUAACACUAACUGGAGGACCGAACCGACUAAUGUUGAAAAAUUAGCGGAUGACUUGUGGCUGGGGGUGAAAGGCCAAUCAAACCGGGAGAUAGCUGGUUCUCCCCGAAAGCUAUUUAGGUAGCGCCUCGUGAACUCAUCUUCGGGGGUAGAGCACUGUUUCGGCUAGGGGGUCAUCCCGACUUACCAACCCGAUGCAAACUACGAAUACCGAAGAAUGUUAUCACGGGAGACACACGGCGGGUGCUAACGUCCGUCGUGAAGAGGGAAACAACCCAGACCGCCAGCUAAGGUCCCAAAGUCAUGGUUAAGUGGGAAACGAUGUGGGAAGGCACAGACAGCCAGGAUGUUGGCUUAGAAGCAGCCAUCAUUUAAAGAAAGCGUAAUAGCUCACUGGUCGAGUCGGCCUGCGCGGAAGAUGUAACGGGGCUAAACCAUGCACCGAAGCUGCGGCAGCGACACUAUGUGUUGUUGGGUAGGGGAGCGUUCUGUAAGCCUGCGAAGGUGUGCUGUGAGGCAUGCUGGAGGUAUCAGAAGUGCGAAUGCUGACAUAAGUAACGAUAAAGCGGGUGAAAAGCCCGCUCGCCGGAAGACCAAGGGUUCCUGUCCAACGUUAAUCGGGGCAGGGUGAGUCGACCCCUAAGGCGAGGCCGAAAGGCGUAGUCGAUGGGAAACAGGUUAAUAUUCCUGUACUUGGUGUUACUGCGAAGGGGGGACGGAGAAGGCUAUGUUAGCCGGGCGACGGUUGUCCCGGUUUAAGCAUGUAGGCUGGUUAUCCAGGCAAAUCCGGAUAAUCAAGGCUGAGGUGUGAUGACGAGGCACUACGGUGCUGAAGUAACAAAUGCCCUGCUUCCAGGAAAAGCCUCUAAGCAUCAGGUAACAUCAAAUCGUACCCCAAACCGACACAGGUGGUCAGGUAGAGAAUACCAAGGCGCUUGAGAGAACUCGGGUGAAGGAACUAGGCAAAAUGGUGCCGUAACUUCGGGAGAAGGCACGCUGGUGUGUAGGUGAAG